rnacentral:rRNA from 1 species
GUGGAUUAGAUACCCUGGUAGUCCACGCUGUAAACUAUGGAUACUAGGUGUUUGGAGAAUUAACCCUCUGAGUACUACAGCUAACGCGUUAAGUAUCCCGCCUGGGGAGUACAGUCGCAAGGCCGAAACUCAAAGAAAUUGACGGGGGCCCGCACAAGCGGUGGAGUAUGUGGUUUAAUUCGACGCAACGCGCAGAACCUUACCUACCCUUAACAUCCCGCGCUAGUAUCAGAGAUGAGAUGUUCUCUUCGGAGACGUGGAGAGAGGUGCUGCAUGGCCGUCGCCAGCU